CUUAAUUAGGCGUUCUAAACAACGUCGCUUACCGGACACGCGUCGCACAUAGACGAUUUGUACUCUCUGUCUUCUCUAUCUCUCUCCCCACUUCGUGUACUCCGUCGGUUUCCAUUCCAAAUCGUGGUGAUUGAUCUCUUCUCUCCAUUUCGACUCAGUCGACGAUUCCGGGUCUCGUAUUUGAUCUUUCGCUGGUCGGUGUCUCCGUCGGUGUCUCUCUCGUGGUUGUCGUCGACGAAUCCGCCUAUCAUCUGUGAUCUCUCCUUGAUACAGAGUAUCACUCGGCGUCUCUCUCGGAGUCCCUCCUCGACGACUCUGCUUCUGUUCCUUCAUCAACGAUUAAACCAUCCGUCUCUCUAUCGACGGUUCUCCUCGACGGUCGGUCGAAUCGAAUCGAAAGUGAUUCAUGUCUCUGACAUUGUGUGCUUUACUUGACGUAUUUGGGGCUUUGCAAGAUGCUUGAGCCUAACCGUGAGCGCUUUAACCGUGGUUGUAACUGGAUAUUAACAGGACUACCGUUUUCAACUGAUGCAAAGUUGAAACAGUCGCAAGCCAUACUUUUAUAAAGUCUAGACUUGUGUAGUCACAGUCUUCUGUCUAUGUCUUCUCUCAUGUGUAGUUACUUUUUAAUCUUGUGUAGUCACUUGUUUACUAGUGACUUGUGUACUCUCAUUCUCUAUAUAAAGUUUCUGAUCAGCACUUUUGUUUUCUCAUCACUUUUGUAUUCUCACCAAACAAAACAUUAUAAAGUUCAUGUUCUCUUCUUCUCUCGUUUUGGUUGGUUUGGUACGGUGAGAAGGAUAUGAAAUGUUUGGAUCGUUUGGUAUGGUGAGGAGAGGAGGAAAGAAAAGGAGAAUUAAGCAACCUAAAAUAAGAGCCUUGCAAUGGAGGAAUAGAAGUAUCAAAUUGCUUAUAAAUUAUAUAAUAGGAUUAGAGAUGUUUUUACGAGGAAAACUAACAACAACAUAAACAAAGCAAUCAAGAAAGCAAGGGAUUAGGUGUAUGAAAUAAGUUGAAGGAAGAUAACGCAUGGCA